AUGGUGAAGCAACUACAGAUGAACACGGCAGGAGAUGCAGGCGGCAUGGCGGCAGGAGCCGGCGGCGGCAAGGAGAGGCGAGCGGAGGCACCGCCAGCAGCCAAAGUUGCAAGAGUUGGCCGCAGCGAACUCCGGGAGCGUCCGGGGGAAGUGCGGCAGAAUCGUGGUUCCUGGAAAUCUCCGCCACGUAAGGAAAGGAUGUUUAGGAUGUCUGAAAAACAACCUUCGUCGGAACCUAAGCAAAAACACAGGAGGGGAAAUCCGCAGGUUUCUUCAACACAGAUGGAAAUGGAAACAUGCAAGUUGGAACUUCCUGCUCAGAACAAUCUUUCAAAAUUUGAAAGGACAUCAACAAUGUCAACUGGAGAGGCUAGUAGCAGCUGUGGCAUGCUCACGAGAGCAAACAUGAAGGUAAUCUGCUGUUUCUAA
rnacentral:rRNA from 1 species